rnacentral:rRNA from 1 species
AUUGAACGCUGGCGGCGUGCCUAACACAUGCAAGUCGAGCGGUAACAGGUGUAGCAAUACAUGCUGACGAGCGGCGAACGGGUGAGUAAUGCUUCGGAAUCUGCCCAUGUAGUGGGGAAUAACCAGCCGAAAGGUUGGCUAAUACCGCAUACGACCCUUGCCCACAAGGCAAAGGUGAAAGCAGGGGAUCGCAAGACCUUGCGCUAUUGGAUGAGCCGAAGUCGGAUUAGCUAGUUGGUAGGGUAACGGGCCUACCAAGGCGACGAUCCGUAGCUGGUCUGAGAGGACGACCAGCCACACUGGGACUGAGACACGGCCCAGACUCCUACGGGAGGCAGCAGUGGGGAAUAUUGGACAAUGGGGCAACCUGAUCCAGCGACGCCGCGUGUGUGAAGAAGGCCUGCGGGUUGUAAAG